rnacentral:rRNA from 1 species
UACGUAGGUGGCAAGCGUUACCCGGAUUUACUGGGUGUAAAGGGCGUGUAGGCGGGGAAGCAAGUCAGAUGUGAAAACCACGGGCUCAACCUGUGGCCUGCAUUUGAAACUGUUUUUCUUGAGUGCUGGAGAGGCAAUCGGAAUUCCGUGUGUAGCGGUGAAAUGCGUAGAUAUACGGAGGAACACCAGUGGCGAAGGCGGAUUGCUGGACAGUAACUGACGCUGAGGCGCGAAAGCGUGGGGAGCGAACAGG